CGAAAGCCUGACGGAGCAAGACCGCGUGAGGGAGGAAGGCGCUUGGGUUGUAAACCUCUUUUCUCAGGGAAGAACAAAAUGACGGUACCUGAGGAAUCAGCCUCGGCUAACUCCGUGCCAGCAGCCGCGGUAAUACGGAGGAGGCAAGCGUUAUCCGGAAUUAUUGGGCGUAAAGCGUCCGCAGGUGGCUCGCUCAAGUCUGCUGUCAAAGACCGGGGCUUAACUCCGGAAAGGCAGUGGAAACUGACAAGCUAGAGGGCUCUAGGGGUAGAGGGAAUUCCCGGUGUAGCGGUGAAAUGCGUAGAGAUCGGGAAGAACAUCGGUGGCGAAAGCGCUCUACUGGAGAGCAACUGACACUCAGGGACGAAAGCUAGGGGAGCG
rnacentral:rRNA from 1 species